CGGGAUGUAGCGCAGCCAGGCAGCGCGCCACGUUCGGGACGUGGAGGCCGUGGGUUCGAAUCCCGCCAUCCCGA
rnacentral:tRNA from 1 species